rnacentral:rRNA from 1 species
AUUGAACGCUGGCGGCAUGCUUUACACAUGCAAGUCGAACGGCAGCGCGGGCUUCGGCCUGGCGGCGAGUGGCGAACGGGUGAGUAAUACAUCGGAACGUGCCCAGUAGUGGGGGAUAGCUCGGCGAAAGCCGGAUUAAUACCGCAUACGACCUGAGGGUGAAAGCGGGGGAUCUUCGGACCUCGCGCUAUUGGAGCGGCCGAUGGCAGAUUAGCUAGUUGGUGGGGUAAAGGCCUACCAAGGCGACGAUCUGUAGCUGGUCUGAGAGGACGACCAGCCACACUGGGACUGAGACACGGCCCAGACUCCUACGGGAGGCAGCAGUGGGGAAUUUUGGACAAUGGGCGAAAGCCUGAUCCAGCAAUGCCGCGUGUGUGAUGAAGGCCUUCGGGUUGUAAAGCACUUUUGGCGGGAAACGAAAAAGGAACUGUGCCAAUACCCACGGUUCGAAUG